UAAAGAAAAUAAGCUUUCGAUAGAAAAAAGACGAACCAAGGAGGGGUCUUAUGGAACUUUCCCACGUGGCUUUCAAACGAAUUGUUUUUUUGAAUAUAUGAGAAAGAUAAAAGAAUCCAUUUAUCAAUUUGUUAUCUUGAUGAUACUUGAAUUUUCCAAAAUGGUACUUUAGGUCGCUCUUGGCAAGAUAUUCACAAAAAAAGUGUGAAAUCCGCAAAAGUGGAUGGCAGAAGAUAUAUAAUACUUCAUGCUAGUAAUGAACAUGGGAGGGUGAUGAGGCUAUUUUUUCUUUAAAAACUCAAUUAAGUGAUUACUAUGGAGAAAUGAACCAGCAAAAUUUCUUGAAUUGGUUCGAAAACCAAUUGUUAAAGAAUCUUACCCAGCCUUCAGUAAUUGUGAUGGAUAAUGCCAUAUAUCACAGCAUGCAGCAUUCUUGAAUGGAAUAAGUUUUCCAUUCAAGAAUGGUUAAUCAAUAAUAAAAUUGAAUUUAUUCGCACAUUGUUAAAAGCCGAACUUCUAAGUGUUAUAGCUGAUACAACCAAAAAAACUUUUUUUAUACCUCGAAACAAUUUGAUAAUAUUAUUUAAGUUUUAUAUAUUUAAUAAUUUAUAAAAACUAAAUAAUAUAUUAAAUAUU